AGCUCCGUGACUACUUGGAUGUCGGGACCCCGGUCAAGUCGCUUGACAGCCCACCCAGGCCUGCUCCCCCUCCUACCAAGCCCAGGAGCAGACAGACUCGGCCUAUAAGGUUCCUUAGCCUGCCACCGGCUCAGACAAGAUGGCAGCCAGUGAGCCAAAGGGUCAAAUUAAGAACCAGGCCAGAUUGCAGCCCCUGUCCAACCCAGAGCAGGCCCUGACUAAGACCUUCAAGCUGCUCCACUCUGCCUCUGAUGACUGGGAGAAGAAGAUCGAGGGCUUGACCUUUCUCCGUGUGAUGGCUCAGAACCACAUGGACAUACUGAUGCCUAAACUCCAUGAUAUCUGCCUUGCCAUUAUAAAUGAGGUGAAGAACCUGCGCUCUGCAGUGUCCUGUGCUGCCAUGGCCACACUGGGUGACAUGUACGUCCACCUCCAGAGGGCCAUGGACAGUGAGGUGGAGGGGACGGCACGCGUGCUGCUGCACAAAGCCAGCGAGGCCAACGCCUUCAUCCGGCAGGGCGCCAACUUUGCCCUGGGUCACAUGGUGCAUAGCUGCACCCCUACACGUGUCAUGAAUGCCCUGCUGGUCGGUGGGCUGAGCCACCGUAACGCUGCGGUGAGGAGCUGCACUGCUCAGCACCUGGAGAGACUGGCUGAGGUCAUGGGGACGGCUCGUCUCCUGUCGGGGAAGAAAGACCUCACUGACCGUUUCUUGAUUGCCGUCAGUAAACUGGCUGUGGACCCUUCACAGGAAGUCAGGCAUCAUGGUCGCAAUAUCUUGAGCAACAUGGCCACCAAUGGCGACUUUCCUAAAAUGUGGGACAAAUUCGCUCCGAGGAAAGAGAGAGAAUCCCUGAGGGAGGUCAUCUCAAAGGUUAACCUCAAAGAAAGGAAUAUCUGAAUCAUCCCCAACUUGACUAUAUUGUAUGUAAAUAUUUGCACAUUUCCCAACUUGACUAUUAUCCCCUCCAGUCCCCAAACUCCAAUAUUUUCUCUCAUUCUAAGAAAUUUGACACUAUCAUCCAACCCCCAUGUAAAUGCAUCUUUAAACUGCAUAUGAACCACAUUCAAAGCACUAAAUUACCUUUCCUCGAAGCUCCUAUCUGAUCUACCAGCUCAAUAGUGGUCUACUGAAACCAUACUCACCAUCUCAGGGGGUGCUCAGAUCAUCAACCACUGACCUCCACACCAUCCUCAAAACCAGCAGUCCUCUUUUGGAGACAGAUUGGUCAGUGCUCCUGUAUAGCACCAACAUUGUGGAUUUUCAUCCAAUACUUCUGGACUAUGGGAACAUUCUUUGGACAAUAAAAUUUGGUAAAAUGGAAGCUGGCUACAGUCUCAGUUUUAUCCUCCAAGACAGUGUGAGGAUGUGUAACAACAAUACCUGUGGUUUAACUUGAUGAUCAGGGCCAGAUUACCGAAUGGGCACGCAGGGCAUCUGCCCUAUGGGCCCCGACCUCCAGGGAAUAUCAUCAUAACAUCCAAAACUAAAACAAUUGUGGAUGUAUAUUACAGUACGUGGACGUUUUACAAUUCGUGAGCUCGUUUCAUAGUUUAGAGCCAUGUUAUAUAUAAAUGUGUGCAUAUUUUGUAGAAAUUCCUGAGCAUUUAAACAUUUUUAGUGGGGAUGUUGUAUAUCAAUUUUCUUACUGGUGCUCUUCCAUGCAGUCCUUAGGAGGAGUGCGUCACUUGAGUAGGUUGAGUCACUGACGUGAUCUUCCUUUUUGGGUUGUGCCGUGGCGGAGAUCUUUGUGGGCUAUACUCGGCCUUGUCUCAGGAUGGACCUGAGCCCGAGGACCAUUCCUGAACUCUCUAGAGACAGCAGGAGUGGUAGAGAUACUCUUAAUGAUCGGCUAUGAAAAGCCAACUGACAUUUACUCCUAAGGUGCUGACUUGCUUCACCCCCGACAACUAAUUGUGUUUAUUAUUAUUUGACCAUGCUGGUCAUUUAUGAACAUUUGAACAUCUUGGCCAUG